UACGGAGGGUGCGAGCGUUGUCCGGAAUCACUGGGCGUAAAGGGCGCGUAGGCGGCAUGCCAAGCGUGUGGUGAAAGCCCGGGGCUCAACCCCGGGUCGGCCGUGCGGACUGGCAUGCUCGAGCACUGUAGGGGCGGGUGGAAUUCCGGGUGUAGCGGUGGAAUGCGUAGAGAUCCGGAGGAACACCAAUGGCGAAGGCAGCUCGCUGGAACGGUACUGACGCUGAGGCGCGAAAGCGUGGGGAGCAAACAGG
rnacentral:rRNA from 1 species